rnacentral:rRNA from 1 species
GAUGAACGCUGGCGGCGUGCCUAAUACAUGCAAGUCGAGCGAACGGACGCGAAGCUUGCUUCUCUGAUGUUAGCGGCGGACGGGUGAGUAACACGUGGAUAACCUGCCUAUCAGACUGGGAUAACUUCGGGAAACCGUAGCUAAUACCGGAUAAUAUUUUGAACCGCAUGGUUCAAAAGUGAAAGACGGUCUUGCUGUCACUUCUAGAUGCAUCCGCGCUGCAGUAGCUAGUUGGUAAGGUAACGGCUUACCAAGGCAACGAUGCAUAGCCGACCUGAGAGGGUGAUCGGCCACACGGGAACUGAGACACGGUCCAGACUCCUACGGGAGGCAGCAGUAGGGAAUCUUCCGCAAUGGGCGAAAGCCUGACGGAGCAACGCCGCGUGAGUGAUAAAGGUCUUCGGAUCGUAAAACUCUGUUAUUAGGGAAGAACAUAUGUGUAAGUAACUGUGCACAUCGUGACGGUACCUAAUCAGAAAGCCACGGCUAACUACGUG